rnacentral:rRNA from 1 species
GUGAGGUUUCAUAGACAGUGAGGAUGUUGGCUUAGAAGCAGCCACCAUUUAAAAAAUGCGUAAUAGCUUACUCAUCGAGAGACCUUGCGCCGAAAAUACUUGGCGAUAAGCACAAUACCGAAGCUCUGGGUGUCCUAGUUUACUAGGGCGCGGUAGAGGAGCAUUCUCUGUGCAGUGAAGGGUGAUGGCGACUGACCCUGGAGCGCAGAGAAGUGAGAAUGCAGACAUGAGUAACGAUAAGAGCGGUGAAAUCCCGCUCCGCCGUAAAUCCAAGGUUUCCCGGGCAACGUUUUUCGUCCCGGGGUUAGUCGGGACCUAACCCGAGGCCGAUGGGCGUAGGGGAUGGUAAGCAGGUUAAUAUUCCUGCACCCAGUAAGGAGGACGCAUAAUGAAAAGCUACUAGGUUAUUGAAUUCCGAGGCGAGGCUUAGGCCGGACCGUAUAGCUGGACAGAGUGCCAAGAAAAGCCCUUACAUUAAUGGCCCGUACCGUAAACCGACACAGGUGGAUGGGUAGAAUAUACCAAGGCGCAAGAGUGAAACCUGGUCAAGGAACUCGGCAAAAUAGCCCCGUAACUUCGGAAGAAGGGGUGCCCCCUCUGGGGGGCCGCAGUGAAAUGGCCCAACCGACUGUUUAGCAAAAACACAGCAUUGUGCUAAGGCGUAAGCCGACGUAUACGAUGUGACACGUGACCAAUGCCAAAAGAUUACGGUAAGAUGUUAGCACUUUAGUGCGAAGCUUCGAGCCCAAGUCCUGGUGAAUGUCGGCCGUAACUAUAACGGUCCUAAGGUAGCGAAAUUCCUUGUCGGGUAAGUUCCGACCUGCACGAAUCGUGCAACGAGUUGGGCGCUGUCUCGACCAGGUGCUCAGUGAAAUUGUAGUUCCGGUGAAGAUGCCGGACACCCGCAGAAGGACGGAAAGACCCUAUAGACCUUAACUGUAAGCUGUUAUUGGUUGUUCGAUCUUAAUGCUCAGCAUAAGUGGGAGACAUUGAAGGGUGCGUUUAGGCGCAUCUGGAGUCAUCAGUGAGAUACCACCCUUUAAUAUUGGAUAAUCUAACCCCGAGCCGUCAUCCGGCCGUGGGGACAAUGGCAGCCGGUCAGUUUUACUGGGGCGGUAUCCUCCUAAAGAGUAACGGAGGAGCGCGAAGGUGGGCUCAGCACAGUUGGCAACUGUGUGUUGAGUGUAAAGGCACAAGCCCGCCUAACUGUGAGACCUACAAGUCGAGCAGAUACGAAAGUAGGCCUUAGUGAUCCGGCGGUAGAAUGUGGAAUUGCCGUCGCUCAACGGAUAAAAGGUACCUUAGGGAUAACAGGCUUAUCACGCCCAAGAGUUCAUAUCGACGGCGUGGUUUGGCACCUCGAUGUCGGCUCGUCGCAUCCUGGGGCUGGAGAAGGUCCCAAGGGUCCGGCUGUUCGCCGGUUAAAGCGGCACGCGAGCUGGGUUCAGAACGUCGCGAGACAGUUCGGUCCUCUAUCCUCUGUGGGCGUAGGAAAAUUGAAGGGUUCAGACCUUAGUACGAGAGGACCGGGUUUGACGCACCUCUGGUGUUCCAGUUGUUCUGUCAAGGGCACUGCUGGGUAGCUAAGUGCGGAACGGAUAAGCGCUGAAAGCAUCUAAGCGCCAAGCCAUUCCUGAGAUAAAUUUUCCCUGAAGGAUCGUGGAAGACGACCACGUUGAUAGGCUGGGGGUAGAAGUGCAGCAAUGUAUGUAGCUCACCAGUACUAAUCAUCCGUUCGACUUAAUUCC